CGGAGGGUGCAAGCGUUAUCCGGAUUCACUGGGUUUAAAGGGAGCGUAGGUGGGCUUGUAAGUCAGAGGUGAAAUCUCUGGGCUUAACCCGGAAACUGCCAUUGAUACUAUAGGUCUUGAAUUCUCUGGAGGUAAGCGGAAUAUGUCAUGUAGCGGUGAAAUGCUUAGAUAUGACAUAGAACACCCAUUGCGAAGGCAGUUUACUACGGAGACAUUGACACUGAGGCUCGAAAGCGUGGGGAUCAAACAGGAUUAGAUACCCUGGUAGUCCACGCCCUAAACGAUGAUUACUCGACAUUAGCGAUAUUACUGUUAGUGUCUAAGCGAAAGCAUUAAGUAAUCCACCUGGGAAGUACGACCGCGAGGUUG
rnacentral:rRNA from 1 species